UAUCCUGUAUGUAACAGGUAAGUAUUGGGUAUGCAUGCUGUACAUACCAGGUAAGUAUUAGGUAAGUAUCCUGUAUGUACCAGGUAAGUAUUAGGUAUGUAUCCUGUAUGUAACAGGUAAGUAUUGGGUAUGCAUGCUGUACGUACCAGGUAAGUAUUAGGUAAGUAUCCUGUAUGUACCAGGUAAGUAUUAGGUAUGUAUCCUGUAUGUAACAGGUAAGUAUUGGGUAUGCAUGCUGUACGUACCAGGUAAGUAUUAGGUAUGUAUCCUGUAUGUAACAGGUAAGUAUUAGGUAUGCAUCCUGUAUGUACCAGGUAAGUAUUAGGUAUGUAUCCUGUAUGUAACAGGUAAGUAUUAGGUAUGCAUGCUGUACGUACCAGGUAAGUAUUAGGUAAGUAUCCUGUAUGUACCAGGUAAGUAUUAGGUAUGUAUCCUGUAUGUAUCAGGUAAGUAUUGGGUAUGCAUGCUGUACAUACCAGGUAAGUAUUGGGUAUGCAUCCUGUACAUACCAGGUAAGUAUUGGGUAUGCAUCCUGUACAUACCAGGUA